AAGUCAGCAUGGCCUUUAUGUCCUGGGCUACACACACGCUACAAUGGCCGGUACAAUAGGUUGCGAAGCCGCGAGGCGGAGCCAAUCCUCAAAGCCGGCCUCAGUUCAGAUUGCAGGCUGCAACCCGCCCGCAUGAAGAUGGAGUUGCUAGUAACCGCAGGUCAGCUAUACUGCGGUGAAUACGUUCCCGGGUCCUU
rnacentral:rRNA from 1 species